GCUGCUUCUCAUUAUUAAUAUUUGUCUGUCUGUAAUUCUCCAAGGAAGAAAUACCAAGAUUUGCUUGUCCUUCAUCCGUUCCUUCAUCAGAAAUCACAUUCCUCACCUUAUUUGAAACCGAAAACUGAUCGUGAGAAGCUAUCUCAGAAGUUAUAUCCACAUUUGAUGAGGACAACCCAUCAGAUUGUUCACUUUCUUUUUUCUUUCUGAAUAUUCCCGGCUUCCUAAGCAUAGCAGCCUCAAUUGCAACUUUUAACUUACUACCUUGGCUCACGUCCUCCCUAACAGUUCUAGCAGAAGGUGUAUCCAUACCAGAAGCCCAAGGAGUAACAAAUGUGCAAAAUUCUGUAGCAUGCCCAAUUUCCUUG
rnacentral:misc_RNA from 1 species